rnacentral:rRNA from 1 species
AGCAGUCGCCGCGGUAAUACGAAGGGUGCAAGCGUUACUCGGAAUUACUGGGCGUAAAGCGUGCGUAGGUGGUGGUUUAAGUCCGUUGUGAAAGCCCUGGGCUCAACCUGGGAAUUGCAGUGGAUACUGGGUCACUAGAGUGUGGUAGAGGAUAGUGGAAUUUCCGGUGUAGCAGUGAAAUGCGUAGAGAUCGGAAGGAACAUCUGUGGCGAAGGCGACUAUCUGGGCCAACACUGACACUGAGGCGCGAAAGCGUGGGGAGCAAACAGGAUUAGAUACCCCAGUAGUCCCUGUCUCUUAUAC